CCUACGGGAGGCUGCAGUGAGGAAUAUUGGUCAAUGGGCGGGAGCCUGAACCAGCCAAGCCGCGUGAAGGAAGAAGGCGCCAGGCGUCGUAAACUUCUUUUAUAAAGGAAUAAAGUGAGGCACGUGUGCCUUUUUGUAUGUACUUUAUGAAUAAGGAUCGGCUAACUCCGUGCCAGCAGCCGCGGUAAUACGGAGGAUCCGAGCGUUAUCCGGAUUUAUUGGGUUUAAAGGGAGCGUAGAUGGGUUGUUAAGUCAGUUGUGAAAGUUUGCGGCUCAACCGUAAAAUUGCAAUUGAUACUGGCAGUCUUGAGUACAGUUGAGGUAGGCGGAAUUCGUGGUGUAGCGGUGAAAUGCUUAGAUAUCACGAAGAACUCCGAUUGCGAAGGCAGCUUACUAAACUGCCACUGACAUUGAUGCUCGAAAGUGUGGGUAUCAAACAGGAUUAGAUACCCUUGUAGUC
rnacentral:rRNA from 1 species